rnacentral:rRNA from 1 species
AGAUUGAACGCUGGCGGCAUGCCUUACACAUGCAAGUCGAACGGUAGAGUAGCAAUACUUGAGAGUGGCGAACGGGUGAGUAAUAUAUCGGAACGUGCCCAGUCGUGGGGGAUAACGUAGAGAAAUUUACGCUAAUACCGCAUACGAUCUAAGGAUGAAAGCGGGGGACCGUAAGGCCUCGCGCGAUUGGAGCGGCUGAUAUCAGAUUAGGUUGUUGGUGAGGUAAAAGCUCACCAAGCCGACGAUCUGUAGCUGGUUUGAGAGAACGACCAGCCACACUGGGACUGAGACACGGCCCAGACUCCUACGGGAGGCAGCAGUGGGGAAUUUGGACAAGUGGGCGAAAGCCUGAUCCGAGCAAUGCCGCGUGCAGGAAGAAGGCCUUCGGGUGUAACUGUCGUUUUGUACGAGACGAAAGGUCUAGCC